ensembl:lncRNA
AAGGACGUUUUUCUACCUAGAUUUUAAAUUUUCUAUCAACCAGUAACUGGUGCCAGAGAGAUGGAGGCCAAAGACCUCACAGGAUUUAGUGACCUGCAGACCCGGUUGCACCCUUCGAAGACCAAGCAAAAAGACGGCCACUUAAUGAACCAGGAAGUGGGUGUUCAUCAGACACAGACCUACCAGUGCCUUAAUUUUGAACUUUUCAUGCUCUACAAUGAAAUUACCACCAUCGAACCUUCAGCAACAACCACUGAGGCAAGACCCUCCAGAAGCAAAAUACAACAACUCACUGAAGGCUCAAUUAUUGUUGGCAUAUUUUACUAAUAAAGCAUGUUUUAAUUAAGAUAUGUACAUUGUUUUUGUACACCUAAUGCGAUUGCAAACCUAAUACACCAAAGUAUAGUGUAAAUAUAACUUUUAUGUGCACUGAAAACCAACCAAAAAGUGUGGCUUACUUUAUUGCAAUAUUUACUUUACUGUGGUAGUCUGGAACCAAACUUGCAAUAUCAGAGAACAUCGUUAUAUGUAUGCUACUGGUUCUGUUUCUUUAGAGAACCCUGACUAAUACAGUUAUAAAAGAAAGAAAAGACUGAAGAACUCUUCUAGAUUGAAGAAAAAUGAAGAGAAAUCACAUUCAAAUACAAGAAUGACUCUAUGUG